rnacentral:piRNA from 4 species
UCAAUAUGGUGACCUCCCGGGAGC